rnacentral:rRNA from 1 species
AGAUUGAACGCUGGCGGCAGGCCUAACACAUGCAAGUCGAGCGGCAGCACGGGUACUUGUACCUGGUGGCGAGCGGCGGACGGGUGAGUAAUGCCUAGGAAUCUGCCUGGUAGUGGGGGAUAACGCUCGGAAACGGACGCUAAUACCGCAUUACGUCCUACGGGAGAAAGCAGGGGACCUUCGGGCCUUGCGCUAUCAGAUGAGCCUAGGUCGGAUUAGCUAGUUGGUGGGGUAAUGGCUCACCAAGGCGACGAUCCGUAACUGGUCUGAGAGGAUGAUCAGUCACACUGGAACUGAGACACGGUCCAGACUCCGUACGGGAGCAGCAGGUGGGGAAUUA